GCUGAGCAGUGGAGCGGGAAAGGGCGCGGGACCCGGGACUGUAACCGCCACUUCCAGGCCCUCGCUCCCCGCGCUUGGAGCCCUCAAGGGCACUCUCAGGGAUCCUCGAGAGCCUUAAAACAGAAGUCUCUGGAACCUGUGUCCUCUCCCUGUCUGUCCCGCCCUCGAAUCCCUGUGUCCUCCUCACCCGCUCCCUCCUGCAGAAGAAGUAUAUUUGAUUCAUAAAGAAGACCUACCUCUUUUGACAGAAAUUGGUUCCAUUUGCCAGAGAGAGAAGGUAGUGAAAAAUAAUUCAAGAAUGUUUUGUCACAAAUGGUCUCUGAUGAACUAGUUUCCAGGAAUGUCCUCUAACACUUAGCCCCUUCAGACUGGCUAUUUUUGGUGGCAGAGUGGCAGGCAGCAAGCACAUUUUUAAAACAACAAUCUCCAGGAACUUACCCGUCUCUGCCUUGAACCUUGGAAACAAGUGCUUUCAACAUAAGCGAUGUGAAGGCAUUAAAACAUGUUGAAUGGCUGUGUGCACAGGAUAUCCUACACCUGCCUGACAUCUGGAAUGCAGGUGAAGCAACCUGACCUGAUGGAGCCACCCACACUUUAGAAGAAUCUCAAAUACAGCCAACCCUGAUCUUCCUCAGCUGAAAAUCAUCCAUCUACCAAACUCACAAAUUAAACAUAACGUAAAUAUUAUUACGUUAUGCCUUGUGUUGUGGUGUUAGGCAUGCACAGAUCUGGGUUUAUCCCCUUGUGCUAGACAGUAAGUCACUUGGUUUGAGUCUGUCUGUUUCAGUGACCCUUUUCUCUAAAGCAUUUAGUUAACAUGAUGGCUGACAUCAGCGAGAACUCAGUAAAUGUGGAUUAAAUGAGAAAAUUCAAAAGAAUGAUUACUUACCUUUUUAAAGUUAUCAAUGAAUUCUAUACAAAUAACAACUUAAAGGUCACUAUGUUUCCAGGAAGUUUGGGUGGAGAGCAGAGGAUUGGUUUUCUAGACAGAGAACUUGUUAGACUGAAACAAAUCUUUCUGUGGAAAGUGUUGGGUUGCUGGCCUGAAUCCUGGCUGCUAUAGGGUCCCUGCCUCUUUCUUGGGCCCCUGACCUUAGAAGAAUCUUCCUUCAGAUAAGAAGAGGAGGCAGCUCCAAGUUUACGGCAAACCACCAGCCUCACACACCACUCCCAACCCACCCUUUUUCCAGACUUUAAAACAUCCCAGAAAAGGAUCAUGGUUGCUCCAGCCUGGACCAUGAGCUGCUGAGCAGUCGCUGAAAAUCCCUUCAACAAAAUGACAUAGCUGAUGUGAGUAAAUAGUAAUUCCUUGAAGGAAGAGAAAUUCUAUUUCCAGGGGAAUGACUGCUUGACAGAUAAAAAGAGACACAAGUAUCCCCACAUCUUGGAAUUUGACCUCUAGCCGCCACAAUUGACUAUAUUUGUCAUCACCUUCUUCUUGUCCAGCUGAACUCCUAAACCUGCCACCCCACCCCUAGCUAAGCUAAUAACAUGAAACUGUGCCCCAAAAGAUAGUGAAUAUUUACUGAAAUGCAAAACCAAGAGUUAUAAACUAUAGCCACAGACAAGACUUCUUAAAUGCAGGAAGUUUUGAAUAAGUGGGCACAAGUUAAUACAAUCAAAGAAAAACAAUAUUUGAUAUUUUGGACAUGAGCCCAAUGUGCUGGCGUAUAUGUGUGUGUGAGUGGGCAGGUGGAUGGGGGAAAUCUCACUAAUGAUGGGUGUCAUCAGGAAAGAAAAUCCAAAAACAAAACUACCAUUCAUUUGUACAAUUAACAAUUAGAAAGUGACAAAUGUUUAAUAAUACACUUGGAGUGAUACAUGGUUGUACCUGACCUCAGAAAACUCAUGGCACAACUAAGAAGACAGAGACAUAGACAUAAACAUGUCACAUAGCUUGAGUUCUAGUUGGAGGAUUAAAAGUAUUAUACAAGUACAGAGAUCUAAGAGUUCUGCAGAAGAAAGAUGAUGUUUUAUAAGAAAGUUCCUCGGAGUGGGUCAUUUGAGCUGGGAUUUGAAGGCUAAAUAGGAGUAUGUCAGGUGUGCUUCAUAUCAGCAACUAACAAAAUCAAAGAGACAGAGAAACUGCUGUAGUUGUUAAAGUGACCCCAUCUCUACAAAAACUACAAAAGUUAUCCACGGGUGGUGACACACCCCUGUGGUCCCAGCUACUUAGGGGUGCUGAGGUGGGAGGAUGACUUGAGCCCAGGAGGUUGAGUGUUCAGUGAGCUGUGAUUGUACCACUGCACUCCAGCCUGAGUGACAGAGUGAGACCCUGUGUCAAAGAAAAAAAAAAAAAAAG
rnacentral:lncRNA from 10 species